rnacentral:rRNA from 1 species
AUUGAACGCUGGCGGCAGGCCUAACACAUGCAAGUCGAGCGGAUGAAGGGAGCUUGCUCCUCGAUUCAGCGGCGGACGGGUGAGUAAUGCCUAGGAAUCUGCCUGGUAGUGGGGGAUAACGUCCGGAAACGGGCGCUAAUACCGCAUACGUCCUGAGGGAGAAAGUGGGGGAUCUUCGGACCUCACGCUAUCAGAUGAGCCUAGGUCGGAUUAGCUAGUUGGCGGGGUAAAGGCCUACCAAGGCGACGAUCCGUAACUGGUCUGAGAGGAUGAUCAGUCACACUGGAACUGAGACACGGUCCAGACUCCUACGGGAGGCAGCAGUGGGGAAUAUUGGACAAUGGGCGAAAGCCUGAUCCAGCCAUGCCGCGUGUGUGAAGAAGGUCUUCGGAUUGUAAAGCACUUUAAGUUGGGAGGAAGGGCAGUAAGUUAAUACCUUGCUGUUUUGACGUUACCAACAGAAUAAGCACCGGCUAACUUCGUG